rnacentral:lncRNA from 1 species
AAAAUUAGGAUUAAAAAAAAAACAAAACCAUUCAAAUAUGGAUUGGUAGAAAAAGGCUUCAAUUCAGGCAACUGAGGAUAUGUUUAGGUCUCAUCUGCAGGGCCCUAAGGAUACCUAAUAGGGAUGACUGCUCAUGAAGAGCUGACUAAGCAGAUUCUAGUCCAGAUGAAAGACAUCACUGCUCUUAGAAUUCCUGUUAUGUGUUGGGACAAUAAAUAAGGUCUCAAAACUAGUCCAGAAACCUUAUGUGCCAAGAGAACAAGAGAUAGAUCUACAAAUGCAUUAUAAUCUAGUUUCUAAAGAAAUGAUAUAGGUGGAAGGCUGUGAAAACAGAGGCAUGAGGUGCUCUUGCUUGUUGGAACAUGGGAGUGAGCCAGUAGAUUUUACCUACAGAGAAAGCCUGGACAAAUGAACUAAGGGCUUCAAAAUCGAGUAAGAAACUCUCCCUCCGGUUUUGUGCAAAACUCUCAAUUAUACCCAGGAUUCUAAUAAUUAACUAUGCUCCACAUUUUUUGAGGCUUUGGGUUUAUAAACACCUCAUGCCACCCCUGGGAGCAGAAGUGGCUUUAUAAAAUGUUAUGUCACUGCUUCUAUUUACAAACAUAGAGAACCAUUGUUGAAUUACUUUCCUCUUAAAUCUCAUGGUUGUACCAAUAAUUCAAAAAUUUUAAACUUUCUGUCAUUUUUUAGAGCAUCAGUUACUAUGGCUUUUUAGCUAGUGUAUUUUUUUUUCUAGCUUGACUGGUACAACUUGUUGAGAAAAAAGUAAAUAUAAAGUAAAAUUGAGUGAGACUUACUCUGAUUAUGUUUGAACGACAUCAUCUUUAAAAUCCUUUUUGCACAAUCUUUUAAUUUACAUGUAAACUAGAACACACUCAAAACUUGGAUAUUUUUGCAAAUUAAUUUUCACAAGGCAUAAACAAUGGAACUUAACUGCUGCACCAGAGCUAUGUUUCCUCUUGCCAAAACAUUUCCCCAUGGCGAUACUGUCAUUGAUACCAUAAACAACAAAUCUAAAUGGUCUCUUGGCUCUAGGUCUAGUGAGCUAUGAAAGAUGCUCCAUGACCGUGAUUUCAGUUGCUUAAAACAUGAGCCUUGGAAAACUCCAAGCAAAACCUAUCAGCUGUUUAUUCAAAACCAGUGAAACAAAAAGCUUAAGUUUAGUCAACAUCAUGGUGAAGUUCCCUGGUGGCCUAGCGGUUAUGGAUCUGGUGUUAUUGUCACUUCUGUGGCUUAGGUUUGAUCCCCAGCCUGGGAACUUCCACAUGCUAUGGGCAUGGCCAAAAAAAAUAUAUCAUGAAAUAGUACCAGAGAAGAAGGAACUAAAGAGAUCAACUCUGAUACUGAGAGAAAAAUUUCCUUGGUGACAUUUUUUAUCCUAGAGAAGAUGGUCCAAAGUCAUUCUGAACUUUUAGGCAUCGUCUAUAUUCAUUUGUCCUGAAUUGUCAUUUAUCAUCUCAGCAUAGUGGACAGGGAGUUGGCACUUGGAAUUAAUUGAUACAAUUUAGGUGACUUGAUAAAUCCUAUGGGAACAAGACAAACUCAAUUAAAAAGUGUUUAUUGACAGUCUAUGAUAUGCCAGGCAUUAGGCUUGACACUGAGAAUUCAUGCAGCAAAUAUUUACUGGGGAUCCUCAAUUUACUGAGGAUCUUCUCACUGUCCUUAGUUCUCAGUAGUUAGUAAUGAAUAAAGCAGCUAUGCUUCCUGUUCUCAUGGAUCUUGAAGUCUAGUAGUCUAGUGGGGAACAUGGGAAAUAUUGUUUAUAUUCAAGUUUAUAAAUGCAUACUUACAUAAUUAGAACUUUUUGUAGGUAUACUAUAGAAAUAAUUAAAACAGUAAUGAAUUAUAGAAUAUAGCAUGAAUGGGGGAGGUAACCUAAGUAGAAUGGUCAGAGAUAAUUUCUCUAGAAGUGAUAUCUAGCAAACCAUGGAAGGACAAAGAGUGAUAGGGGAGAGGGGUUCAAGGCAGAGGAGAGCAUCAGGUCUUGGGAGAGAAGAGACUGCUAUGUUCAAGGAAUGUAGAAGAAGCCAGUUAACUUGAACUUGAUGAGCCAGAUGAGAAGAAUAAUGAGAUGAGAUGAGGUUGGCCAGAUAGAUUAGGGUUAGAUGUCUCUGUAGAAGGCUCUACAGACUACACUAAGGAGUUUGCAUUUUACUCCGAUGUAGUAGAAAGCCACUAAGAGUUUGAGGCAAAGGACUUCCAUGGUCUGAUUUAUGAAUUAAAAGCAUGUAACUGCAUUGGUUGGAACAUAGCCAAGAGCGAGCUUGAUUACCCUUGGAGUAGUUUGAGUGGGAAAAGAAUUGGUUUCCAAGCAACAGUUGGGUUUUUAUGCAAAUUUAAUCCUAUUGCUUUGGGUCUGUUUAAAUUCUAUCUGGAAGGCACAACUAAUUGAAUGUUUUAAAAACUAUUCUCUUCAACAUAUGUGCCAAUAAAAUAGCAUUUUCCUAUGAUCCAACUAGUGUGUUAUAAGUAACCAUUCAUAUUUUCAUGCAGAGAUUCAGCUAAGGCAAUCUUUUCUUGCUCUCAAGCAAUCAACUAAGUCCCCAAAUUUUUGGCCAAAGGAAAGCAAAUGAAACUUGGGAAAAUUAAUACUAGCAUAAGUAAAUUCAGUCCUACAAAUAAAGGCAUCCACUUCAAUAUAGCAAUCUCUACUUUAGGGUUAUAAAGCAUAUGGAUACAUUUUAAAUAAGAACUCCUAUCUUUCCCUUGCUCUUUUUCUCACUAAAACUGAUUUACUGUCCUUUCCCUAUCCUCAACUGUAAUAAAUCUCCACUUUGAGCCAUUAUUAAUAAGCAUGUUUAAAAUACCCACUGCUACAGACUUUUGGCCCCUUUUUGAUUUUAAAUCUAUUUCAUGGAGGGAAUUGGCUUUGAAUAACUCUUUUAGUGCUGGAUUCUUCUUCCAUUGCUGGAAUUUUGACUCAUUGUGUGGAGGACUUCUAACUAGGACUCCCCAUUCUCUCACUUGGGGACCUCUAAAGGGCUGCAUAUAUUCUACCUAAUGCACAUUAAUUUGUGCAUUCAUCUAAAAACUAAUGGAACAUCUCUAAUGAGCCAGAUUUUUAAUAUACUCCCACUCCAAUAGACACCUUUAAUGGUGGGAACAUAGACACACUAACAAAUCACAUUAUAAUAAAACAUAAGUAUCUCAAUUAAGAUGAAUAAAUAUUAAAUUCUAAAUGCAGACCAGAGAGUAAACUGACCCUGAUCCUUUCCUCGAGAGCUAGUGGCAGCCUUCCUAGCAAGAGACAUUUGAGCUCAGCCUGAAGUAUGAGUAGAAGCUGCAAGCCAGACAAGUCUUCACACUAGUUAAAUGACAAGAUUUUUCCUAGAAGCUGAGAUAAAUUAUCACUGUAAUUUGAAUAACUAUUUUGCAGUGAGAUGUUACACCACUAUUUCUUCUGACUUCCCCAACUUGGAUAGUUAUUAUCACAGGAGAAAGACCAUAAGCUACCAUGUCAUUACCAUGCAAUAUUCAGCAGGGGGUUAAGCUUUUAUAAACUUCAUUUUUCUAUUGGUAAACUUAAGAUGAUACUUCACAGAGUUGCUUAGAAGAUUGAGAACAUGCUUAAACUUCAUUUUUCUAUCAUUUAUAAAUGGUUUAGCAUAUUGUCGUUUCUUUAACAAGUAUUCAAUAAAAAUUGGAGAAGUAGUCUCCUGAAGGGAUGGUGAGGAAUGAUGUGGCCACCAGCACUGAUUCCACCACCAUUCCAGAGAUGAAAGGGAGGAUGGAAUGCUUCCACAAAACCCACCUUGAAUUUAGAGCAAGAAGCAUUCUAGGUCAUAGGAUUUGUCACUCAAUUUCAUACUUUUAAAGAGUCCUGUGAAAUUAUUUCUUGGACCAUAACACUGCAUCUGGAUACAUGGAAAGAAUGAGCAGGGUCAUCCAGGAUUUUUUUUUAAUUCAGGGUGGUUUUAUCUCCAAAGAAAAUAAUUUUACUUUAUUUGUUUUUAUAGCAUCUCCAUCCUUCUGUUUGGGUUAGAUUCUAAUAAUAUGGUAACUGGCUUUCACCCCUGAAAACAUAUUGAGGAUGAAAUGAAAGGAAAGGAAAAUUUUCAUUUGUGGAUCACUCACUCUAAUAAGCUCUGUGCUAGGAACUUAACAUAUCAUGCUUAAUCCUUCUCACAAGUCUGAAAUAUUAUUGUCAUUUUUGGAUGAAAAUAAUAAGACUUAAAGAGGUUAUGUGACUUUAUAAGGUCACUUGGCCAGGAAGUAGAGGUUCUAGAAUUUCAGAUCAGUUCAUUAAAACAAACAAAUAACCAACCAUAAAGACAAAAGAAACAAAGUAAGGGAUGUGUGGUAACAUGUGAAACAAUACACAAGUAUAUGAGGCAAAAGGUAAUCAUCUCACU